UAUACUACCCCUUUCCUAAAAGAGCUUCCAAAGAUGGUAACCGCUCCAAUCCUGCUUUCCAUCUGAAGAGUGGCCGUGCUUCUAAGACAGUUUUGACGCGGCUUUGGGAGGCAGAACGUCAAGAAAUCUGGAGAACUCAUGGGGUUUGACUUGCUCUUGAUUAAUGAAAAGUCGACGCUGCUACAAGGUUCAGUUCCAUCUCUGUCGACUGUAAUAAUAUGUUUGUGAGGAUGCUUCCACCCGUGAUGAGGAAGAAAUAAAGAGAGAGCCUCUGUGGUGGCUCUGUUCUUUAGCAGAUCAUGACGUCGUUCCCUGUUUCGUAAGGAGUUUCAUGAAUUAGUUCUGAAUUGUACAUAUAUGACUUGAUUUAGUCGGCUCUAUCGUGGGAUAAUCGCGGUACCCCCACUCAGACUGAUCCUAAAGUGUUUUUUUUAAUCAGGAUCUUGGUUCUGCUAGCUUAGGAAAAAGGAAAAUCGGGAACCGGGAUUCUUAGAUAUGAGUUGAGUCUAUGUUUAAGAAGAUAAUCGAUCUGGGGAAGCUCCGAUUAGUUUCAAUCCUUACGGCGGGAAUAUGGAGAGAUUAUAAAGUCGCAACACCGUUCCCGUACCGAGAUAAGCUUUUCAAUAUUUAAUACACUAUAAUAACUGGAAAUAAUUGUCAGCUGCAAAGAUAGAGAAGUGUUUUUAGAAAUAGAUUAAAGUGCUUCCCAGUUUCGUGACCUGGUUUUGUAAGUAAGAAGCCUUUAAAUAUGUAUUUGAUCACGAGCGAGUAAUAACAAAGAAGAAAAAGUGUAUUGGAGAAAGUAUUUUAGAAAGAGCUUCAAUCGAUUAGUAAAGGUCAAAACUUUCGUUGAUCUUAGGAACUUAUUCACAAAUGAAUAGAGUAUCCUACCUGUCAAGUACGACAUAUGAGAUAUUAUUUAUAAUUUGAUAUAAAGAUUGGUGUUAGUUAAAUAUUUAUUGCUUUGGUGAAGCAAUAUAGAAUGUAUUAGUUAUGGAUAUCAUAUAUUGUACGUUUUCUCUGUUUUACAUCACAAUACUCUACAAUUUUAAAUUGUUUCGAAAAGUAUUUAUAAAGAGGUUAAUUAAGAAUAUAGUGGGAUUCUGGAAAAUGCAAACGUUAAAACACCACUAGCUAUGUUUUUAAUACAUUAAUCAUUAUCAUAUUCCGUUAGGGUAUAGUAUCGUGAGAAAAUUUUGACUUUUAUAAAUGCAUUCAUUAUUUGUUUCUAAUAUGUUUUGUUUCACCACUAUUAUGUUUCUCGAAACAGUGGAAUUCAACCUCAGCAAAACUGUCACAGCAUGGGAAGAAAUGUUUAAAUGGAAGAAUGAAUUUGGAACAGAUCGCAUUAUAAAGGUAUGUAGGUAAGUAACUGAUAUUAUAUUUGGUCUUAGAUGUUACAGAAAGGAGUACAUAUAUAGUAGCAUGCCCAAGUUAAUAAAGUUUUUGGCUUUAUUGCUCGAAACAAGAUUUCAAGUUCAAAGAGUUGGUCAACAUCAUAAUGCACUACCAUCAAGGGAAUCAUGGAAUUUAUGAAGAUGGAAUGCCUAUCUAUAUCGAGUGCCUAGGACAAGUCAUCCCAGUAAGUUAUGGAUAUUACAACGAGGGGUACUUGAAGUAUCAUGUACAUGAAUUCGAAAAGCCUCUGCAACAGAAGCUUAACCAACGUUUAUAUGCUUCAUAAAGUUCUUUAAGAACUUAACCAAAAAAUUUAUUGGUUUAAAUUCCAUUAAUGUAAAGAUACAUUAUUUUUUGUAACAUCGAAAUUUACAUAUUAUGAUUUUAAAUUAACUAUUGAUUUGAAUCUA